CCGUCGAUAGCUCAGUUGGUAGAGCGGUGGACUGUAGAUCCAUAGGUCGCUGGCUCGAAUCCGGCUCGACGGA
rnacentral:tRNA from 1 species